rnacentral:lncRNA from 1 species
GGGGGUUGGUAAGACCGGCUUCAGUUCUAUAAUUGGUGACGACUUGUGCUGUGCAGUGAACAAAGGUGCCAAGUCUGACCGCUCGCAGAUAUUCCAUUCAUUUUAUUUUCUUUCAUUUCCUGUAUUAAUUGGAAGGAAGGGAUCGUCUGCGCAUAUGAGUCUGCUACUUAGUAAGAUCACAGAGCAAAGUUUUAAUGCAGGCUUUUGUUCUCUUGGGAGAGUUCUGCCGGCCCGGUCGCCCUUCCAUCGUUCCAAACAAAUGCACGGCGGCAGUCGAAGUAGGUUUAACGUCGAUGGCUGGCAGGGCUUAGAUCAUCGACAACAACCACGGAACAAUGAUAUUAAGAUAAUGUUGCGGGAGAUUCGCCGUGGGUUUCAGGGCGUCGACUUUGCACGUCCGUGGAUGAACCAUGAGAACGGCAGCCGGAAACCACAAGUCAUUGUGGCUCCCCUGCACAUGGUUUUGUGCGUGAGACGGUGCUGAGGAACACACGGUGUCGUUGGAUCGAUGUUAUGCCACCUCCACUGUUCGGUGAUCACAACUUCACCUACCACUGGGGGGAUUACCUCUCCGCAGCCUCACAUCUCACGACCUUUCAUCGUUGGACGACUGCGAUGUGUCAGAUUUUUUCUUUCCAUUGUGAGUCGUGCCGGUUUUGACACCACACACCCCAUAAUUCAUUUUAAUUCGUAGUUGAUCUUAUGAUGCCG